rnacentral:rRNA from 1 species
UGUGCCCGACCGGGGAAAGAUUUAUCGGGGUAUGAUGAGCCCGCGUUGGAUUAGCUAGUUGGUGGGGUAAAGGCCUACCAAGGCGACGAUCCAUAGCUGGUCUGAGAGGAUGAUCAGCCACAUUGGGACUGAGACACGGCCCAAACUCCUACGGGAGGCAGCAGUGGGGAAUAUUGGACAAUGGGCGCAAGCCUGAUCCAGCCAUGCCGCGUGAGUGAUGAAGGCCUUAGGGUUGUAAAGCUCUUUCACCGGAGAAGAUAAUGACGGUAUCCGGAGAAGAAGCCCCGGCUAACUUCGUGCCAGCAGCCGCGGUAAUACGAAGGGGGCUAGCGUUGUUCGGAUUUACUGGGCGUAAAGCGCACGUAGGCGGAUAUUUAAGUCAGGGGUGAAAUCCCGGAGCUCAACUCUGGAACUGCCUUUGAUACUGG